rnacentral:rRNA from 1 species
UGAAUUUAAGCAUAUCAGUAAGCGGAGGAAGAGAAACUAACCAGGAUUCUCCUAGUAACGGCGAGUGAACGGAGAUUAGCCCAUCACCGAAGCCUGCGUGCGUUUGCAUGUUAGGCAAUGUGGUGUUAAAGCUUGUACCUGGGAUCGUGUACCUACCCGAAGUCUAAAUCCGAUUGUGGCUUUGGAUUCAUUCCAUAGCGGGUGAAAGUCCCGUGCGGGUAGGACUAUUGCAUAUUCACACGGUCCUCAGAUGUGCUUGCUUUCGAGUCGGAUUGCUUGAGAAUGCAGUCCAAAGUGGGUGGUAAACUCCAUCCAAGGCUAAAUACUGGCACGAGUCCGAUAGUAGACAAGUACCGUGAGGGAAAGUUGAAAAGUACUCUGAAGAGAGAGUAAAUAGUACGUGAAACCGAUUGCAGGGAAGCUGGUGGAGUCAAGCUUCGUGCUUGAGGGAUUGAUGCUGGGAGCAGGUGUGUGAUUUGUAUGUGAGGUUGGACAACUUGGAAUAAGUUGGGCGUGUUCUGAAUGCGCUUCAAGUCAUUCCGGGCCGAGUGUUAUGAGCCAGCCUCGCUUUACUACUCUCAGUGUUGUAUUCCUCGCUGCACAGGCCACAGUCAAUAUGUGCAUGCUGAAUGAAGUUCUAACUAUGCUUCGGCGGGUGCAAACUCUCCGGGUGUAGGAUGGCAGGUGCUGUCUUCAGGCCUCGUGUCUGUUGAUAGUUGUUGUGAUUUUGAUCAGCUGGGCUUCAUACUGUGUUGUGCAUAUUGUCUUUUAAUGGUGCAGUUUCUUUGGAAGUUGCGCUGUGAAGAAC